UCAUGAUGCUCAUGCUCAUGCUCCUGAUGAUGCUCAUGCUCAUGCUCCUGAUGAUGCUCAUGAUUAUGAUCGUGAUCAUGGUCAUCUGCA
rnacentral:pre_miRNA from 1 species